UCCCUGGUAGUAUAUCGGUUAGUACACGCGCCUGUCAUGUCGUCAGCAUCAAGUUGGGCUACCCGACGCGCGAAAGCUGGGUUCGACUCCCAGCCAGGGAG